GACAAAGAUGCCAUUAAGUUGGAUAGCAUUAUUUGGUUUGAUAACCAAGUCUUCUACAGUGUCAAACUUGAACUUUUAGGUAGGACUUAGGAGGGGGGAUUCUCAGUGGCAUCAAUUAGUCUGGAAGUUAGGGUUAUAAAAUCCUUGAUUUUUUUUGAGUUCUUUUGUGAAAAUACCAGGAAGUCUACCUGUUUCACAUGUUUUUGAGAAGUGCUAAUGAACCACAAAAAGCACUUUAGCCAAAUUUACAAUUGUGGUCCCUUCUUUGGAAAUGCACUAUUAGGGCCUCUACUUCCAUUCCUUAAAAAGGUUUUUUGAUAUGGACCUAAAUAUCCAUAUUACACUAGUCAAAGUCCAAGGCUAGAUAGAAAACUGAAUCUUACACACAACCAACUGUUUUAGGACCACAUCCAGAACACUUUCAGAAUUCACUUAAGCAAAGCCAAUUCUGCUACCCUUUUCCCCCUAACACAAAAAGAGAGAAAGAAAUAGGACCACUCAGC
rnacentral:misc_RNA from 1 species